UACGUAGGGGGCCAGCGUUGUCCGGAUUCAUUGGGCGUAAAGCGCGUGUAGGCGGCCAGGUAGGUCCGAUGUGAAAUCUGGAGGCUCAACCUCCAGCGGUCAUUGGAAACCAUCUGGCUAGAGUCCGGAAGAGGAGAGUGGAAUUCCUGGUGUAGCGGUGAAAUGCGUAGAUAUCUGGAGGAAUACCGGUGGCGAAGGCGGCAUCCUGGACCAUUACUGACGCUGAGGCGCGAAAGCUAGGGGAGCAAACGGG
rnacentral:rRNA from 1 species